ACAAGGAACUAAGGUCAUGGCUCUUUCAACGUUUCUAAAUCAUUGUAAAGCUACAUAUGCAGAAAGUUGGAGACUUUUUCUCACGGAUAAUGUUUCCAGUGAUGUCCUGCGACCAGUACUUAUAAGACUGGAGACUCUUGAGAGGAGCAUCAGAUGGGCAAGAGGGAGGAUUCUGCCAUUGGAUGAUGCAGAUGAACUCCUACCAUUAGUGACUGGUUUUAUUCAACUAGUGCAAACAGCUUUGUCAACUCAAGAUGAAGGUACCCCAGGAUAUCAAGCCCCAUUGGUCCAGACAGG